rnacentral:rRNA from 1 species
GUAGUCAUAUGCUUGUCUCAAAGAUUAAGCCAUGCAUGUCUAAGUAUAAGCAAUUAUACCGCGAAACUGCGAAUGGCUCAUUAUAUAAGUUAUCGUUUAUUUGAUAGUACCUUACUACUUGGAUAACCGUGGUAACUCUAGAGCUAAUACAUGCUAAAAAUCCCGACUUCGGAAGGGAUGUAUUUAUUAGAUUAAAAACCAAUGCCCUUCGGGGCUCGCUGGUGAUUCAUGAUAACUCCUCGAAUCGCAUGGCCUUGUGCCGGUGAUGGUUCAUUCAAAUUUCUUCCCUAUCAACUUUCGAUGUUUGGGUAUUGGCCAAACAUGGUUGCAACGGGUAACGGGGAAU